GCGGCAAUGGCAGAGCAGGUUUAAUGCGGCAGAUUGCUAAUCUGUUGACCGUCAUAAGGCGGUCCGGAGGUUCGAAUCCUCCUUGCCGCG
rnacentral:tRNA from 1 species